rnacentral:rRNA from 1 species
AUACGGAGGGUGCAAGCGUUGUUCGGAAUCACUGGGCGUAAAGGGCGCGCAGGCGGUUUGGUAAGUCAGAUGUGAAAGCCCAUGGCUCAACCAUGGAAGUGCAUUUGAAACUGUCAGACUUGAGUACUAGAGGGGAUAGUGGAAUUCCCGGUGUAGAGGUGAAAUUCGUAGAUAUCGGGAGGAAUACCGGUGGCGAAGGCGACUUUCUGGCUAGAUACUGACGCUGAGGCGCGAAAGCGUGGGGAGCAAACAGGAUUAGAUACCCUAGUAGUCC